rnacentral:rRNA from 1 species
GACGAACGCUGGCGGCGUGCUUAACACAUGCAAGUCGAACGGAAAGGCCCUGCUUUUGUGGGGUGAUCGAGUGGCGAACGGGUAAGUAACACGUGAGUAACCUGCCCUUGACUUUGGGAUAGCUUCAGGAAGCUGGGGCUACUACCGGAUAGGAGCUCCUGCUGCAUGGAAGGGGUUGGAAAUUUUCGGCGGUUGGGGAUGGACUGGCGGGUUAUCAGCUUGUUGGUGGGGUAGUGGCUUACCAAGGCUUUGGAGGGUAGCCGGCCUGAGAGGGUGACCGGGCACAUGGGGACUGAGAUACGGACCAGACUGCUAUGGUAGGCAGCAGUGGGGAAUAUUGCACAAUGGGCCGAAGCCGGAUGCAGCAACGCCGCGUGCGGGAUGACGGCCUGCGGGUUGUAAACAGCUGUCGGCUGUGACGAAGCGUGAGUGACGGUAAUGGAUAAAGAAGCACCGGCUAACUACGUG